rnacentral:lncRNA from 1 species
UGGGAGUGUGCGCAUGAGUGACAAAUUCAUUGGAAGGUGAUUAGAAACUGAGGAGGACUAGUACAAGAACUAGAACUGGGGAGGGAAGAGUCUUUUACUAAACUGUUUUGACAGAUGUUCUCAGUUACUUCGUUUUCUUUUACAAGGCAGCUGUUGGACCCUGCAAGUUAGUGCAUGUAUAGAUCUAGUGGUGUUUUAGUGCCAUCAGGCUACAGAUUUUGUUUUGUAUUUCUCCAGUAACAGCAUCAGCUUGGAGCAAUAUUUUCCAAGAGAGGUAACCAUUACAAAGUGCUUUGGAUAACCAGAAAUAUUGGGUCAGGGUUUGUUUGUUUGUUUGUUUUGUAUCUGUUGACCAUUAAUUAAAGGGAAUAUGGCCAGGAAAUCAGUUGCAUGUAUUUCCAAUGAUUCCUUUAACCAUAAUUUACUGAUGAGAAGUAACUAUCCCUUUGGAAAUAAAAUAGGCAAAUGUUUCACUUUCUUUUUUACUUGAAAUUACAAAAUGCAAUUUGUCCUCAUGCUUGCUAAACUCAUCUUUCAUUCUGAAUUGUCAGAAAACCAUUUCUGUGCACAUGUUUGAAGAUAUAUCAGCCACAUAUAUUUAUGUCUUCCUGAUAACAACAAACAUACACAUACAAAAUCCCUUUACCCUUGCCAUAAAUUCUAACUGAAAAACAGCAGUAUAAUAGCAGGUUCCUGAUAUAGUGUCCAUUAUGGUCAUUUUAGUGUACUCAGACCUAUCAACAAGAUAUCUUAAUGUUCAUUAAUGGAGACAGGCUCUUGGGGCUUAAAGUCUGGAAAAGAUUAGUCCUUUUCCUUUGUGAAAAUUAAAAAUAAUUGAAUAGGUGCAGAUGACUUGAAAAGCAUUGAUUAGAGCAUUAGGUAGAUAAAUCUUUUUAGAAUGCUUCAAAUAACAAUCAUUGCUGAAGCCCAUUUGCAUUUUUCUUUUUGUUAUUUUCAUUUGUGCAAUAUUUUCAGGAGAAUGAGACUACUGUUCAAUUUAUUUGAAUAGAGAUGAGAGCCUUUAUUAACUAUUAUAACAAGUGAAAAAAUACAAGGAAAAAAAUCAGAUUUGCACUUUAAAUGAGCUUUAUUGCUUAGAGUUGUGCCUAAUCAAGAAGCCUCCUGUUGUACAUGACUAUUUUUGUUUGUUUGAAAUAAAUUUCUCUGUAAUUAUUGCUGUUUGAAGGCAUCUGUACAGCACUGAACAAAACUAUUAUACCACCUCGCAUGUCACUUUUUCCCUACAUUUCUUUGUAUAUUCCUUUGUUUUCCUAUAUUUUUGACUUAAUAGCAUACUGUAGAAUCUUUUUGUUUUCUCUAGCUGCCACUUACACAUAUUCCCAUAGUCUAGUAUGCUAGACUUAGAUGUACAAUCUCAAUUUGUGAGCACAGUAGAUUCCCUUGAUUUCACAUUCAUUGGGAAUGUACUUUGGGAUCCUGAAACACAAUUGAAAUGAGAAUCAAUAAACCUGCACAAGUUAAUAAUUUUUCAUGCUGCUAAAGGGUUGGAUUCUUUGUGGGUGGAUACCAUGGCAUGCAUGUGUAUCUCAAAUGCAUUUUGAAAUUUGGAGGAGCCCACAUCAUGUUUUCUUAAUAUUUUGCUCCAAGUGCAUUUUCAAAUCGACCUUCCAUGUAUUCUCUUUUAUUUCAGUGUGGCAGCAUGAGUUUUGAUACAUUUUGGAAGGCUCACAUUAAAAAUCAUCUAAAUUUUGUCAUUAAAUAAACAUGCAGUAUACUUUUGAUCACUGCUGUGAUAAAGCUGCUUCACUGCCUCCUUAGAUGUCAAAUCACAAUAAAAAUAGAAUGCCAAAUCCAAUAACAUUCUUAUUUAAAGACUUAAGUUUGAUGCUAGCUAACAGACAAAAAUACAACUAUUAAUACUUUUGAGUGUUUAUUUCUCCCUUUGUCUUUUUUUUUUUAAUUCGUCCAAAGUAUAUACUGUAUAUUGCAAUUUGCCUGUAAAGUAGAAAACCUUUAUGUAAAGACUCUUUCCUGAAAGUGUUGCUAUAGUGAAUAAAAAUAAAAUGGAUAAUUAUAAAUAUCACCCUUUUCUCUUAACAUUUCCUCAUAGUUUAUUUGGAACUUUGAGGGGGGUUUUAUUUUUAUUUUUGUUUUUAAUCACAAAACUAAAAUGAUGACAGAAGAAAGCUGCGGUUUUAAUUUGAUUUUCCUGAGUUGGUAUGGGUGCUUCCUUUUGUGUAGUAGUGAUGAUAUCAGCAGUUAGGAAAGGACAGUGCCUAGAUCAUCCACUUCUUCUCCAACUUAUUCAGUGUCUGGUGCUUCAGUUUCCUUUGGGAUGUAACACCGGCUUGCUACCAAUUUUAGAGAAAUUUUUGUGAGAAUUGUAGAAAAUUCAGAUCAUGAUGCCAUGUAAGGAGGAAAAAAAGCCAGUAUCCUUUUAACUUCUUCAUUCACAAAGCACAAGUGGAACAAGGAAAAAGGGGUGAUGAAUGGGACUUUAACAGGGAAUUACAUAUAUCAGAAAGAUUAUUUCAUUAAUGUCAC